rnacentral:rRNA from 1 species
AUUGAACGCUGGCGGCAGGCCUAACACAUGCAAGUCGAGCGAGCGGCGGACGGGUGAGUAAUGUAUGGGGACUGCCCGAUGGAGGGGGAUAACUACUGGAAACGGUGGCUAAUACCGCAUACUAUCAGAUUACCCAUAUGGGAUUAGCUAGUAGGUGAGGUAAUGGCUUACCUAGGCGACGAUCCCUAGCUGGUCUGAGAGGAUGAUCAGCCACACUGGGACUGAGACACGGCCCAGACUCCUACGGAGGCAGCAGUGGGGAAUAUUGCACAAUGGGCGCAAGCCUGAUGCAGCCAUGCCGCGUGUAUGAAGAAGGCCCUAGGGUUGUAAAGCACUUUCAGCGGGGAGGCGUUACCCACAGAAGAAGCACCGGCUAACUCCGUGCCAGCAGCCGCGGUAAUAC